rnacentral:rRNA from 1 species
GACGAACGCUGGCGGCGUGCCUAAUACAUGCAAGUAGAACGCUGAAGAGAGGAGCUUGCUCUUCUUGGAUGAGUUGCGAACGGGUGAGUAACGCGUAGGUAACCUGCCUUGUAGCGGGGGAUAACUAUUGGAAACGAUAGCUAAUACCGCAUAACAAUGGAUGACACAUGUCAUUUAUUUGAAAGGGGCAAUUGCUCCACUACAAGAUGGACCUGCGUUGUAUUAGCUAGUAGGUGAGGUAAUGGCUCACCUAGGCGACGAUACAUAGCCGACCUGAGAGGGUGGUCGGCCACACUGGGACUGAGACACGGCCCAGACUCCUACGGGAGGCAGCAGUAGGGAAGCUUCGGCGAUGGGGGCAACCCUGACCGAGCAACGCCGGGGGAGUGAAGAAGGUUUUCGGGUCGUAAAGCUCUGUUGUAAGUCAAGAACGGGUGUGAGAGUGGAAAGUUCACACUGUGACGGUAGCUUAACAGAAAGGGACGGCUAACUACGUG